GCUAUAGAAACAAAGCGAGCACGUCAACAAAUUCAGCUCAAACAUAGCUGAAACUUAUUAGCAAACGAGCUCUAUUUCACGAGAUUGACGUAUUCAAAGGAAAAUAGGGGUGGUAAAAAUCUGAAGAGUAUUUUAAGAGGAGGAAAGUACAAAGUGCUGAACAUCAUGAGAUAUUCAUCCCUUUAUGUCCACAAGAACACUCCCUCGCCGUUCUAUACUCCAAAAAGUACAACCAAAAGCAAGACGAGGCUUUACUCAGAAUAGAAACUAAUCAAGUCAGCAACGCAAUAAGCAAAUUAUGGUCAUUACACAGCAAUAUGAAAAAAAAAAAAAAAUCAGGCGACAAGAUUAAUAGAAAAGGAAACAAAACGAACGAAAUGAAAUAAAGGUGAGGCGUGGAGGUCACAACAACAACAUAAAAAAAAUACUGCACUUAAGAUUGAAAAGAGGUAACCUAUUUUGGGGCAGCGAACCUACACGGUGAGUAGACGACAAUCAGUUUUCACACCACUUCGAUAUGCGAGUGAUAAAAAAAAUGAGAAUUAGAGUGAGUAUUAAUGACAACUGGAAAAAAUAAUCGCAAAGGAAAUAGAGAACUUAGUGAACCGGAGAGUGUGGUAAACCUCAAAUAUUCCCCCCUUUUUCCCUACCACUUGACUUAUGAUCUGAAGGGGUGAACAAGCCCCCUUUUAUAGGCAAAAUAUGGACUACAAUAGCUUCUCAAAGAAGCUUUCAAAAAAUUCAAAUUUGAUGUGCUUGAGAAGACAAAUUGCUGGUUGAUUCAGAGGGAUUAAUGGUGAAAAGAGAUAAAAGAAGAGAAAGGAGUCACCUUUUUGGCCGAUUUGAGAGACGAGUGACGGUUUGGAGGCGGAGAGGCUUGGAACCAUUGGUUUAAUCUCGGUAGCUGUCGAAUUGAAGGAAAAAACAUCUUGAAACUGCUGAUACUCAAUUCCCUCCUAUUUUCAGAAAUCGCAAGGCCUUGAACUUUGUUUUACUUCAACAAAAAAAUGAUGGAAAGGUGACAAGAGAGGACAAACGAGAGGAAAGGUGAAAACCACCAGAUUUCUUAAUUAUCCGGUGAUCCGAGUUUUGAUGGGCGUCCCUGGUUGAUAUUAUUGUUGUUUUGUCGAUAUUGUUGCUGGGGUUGUGUUACUCUGUUUGUUGAAAUUGUGAAAGGAAGGGUAAUGAAUGUUUUUUUUUUUUUUUAAAAGUGAUAUUACAUAAAACUUUCAUUAUUUU
rnacentral:lncRNA from 1 species